rnacentral:rRNA from 1 species
UAGGGAAUCUUCCGCAAUGGACGCAAGUCUGACGGAGCAACGCCGCGUGAGUGAAGAAGGAUUUCGGUUCGUAAAACUCUGUUGUUAGAGAAGAACAGCGCAUAGAGUAACUGUUAUGCGUGUGACGGUAUCUAACCAGAAAGCCACGGCUAACUACGUGCCAGCAGCCGCGGUAAUGCGUAGGUGGCAAGCGUUGUCCGGAUUUAUUGGGCGUAAAGCGAGCGCAGGCGGUCAAUUAAGUCUGAUGUGAAAGCCCCCGGCUCAACCGGGGAGGGUCAUUGGAAACUGGUUGACUUGAGUGCAGAAGAGGAGAGUGGAAUUCCAUGUGUAGCGGGGAAAUGCGUAGAUAUAUGGAGGAACACCAGUGGCGAAGGCGACUCUCUGGUCUGUAACUGACGCUGAGGCUCGAAAGCGUGGGUAGCAAACAGG